rnacentral:lncRNA from 1 species
GAACAACAAAAGAACAAACUCAAACGAAACUGCUUAACAAUCCUACAGUGCAGACCUGGCAGGAAGAAAAAGUGGAUGAGGAAGACCCUUUGGACAUCGUCAAAAGAGGCAUUGUUAGCAAAUGACGGGGGGCCAGUCCUGAAAGCCUGUGAGGCUGUGAGCAACUCUCCCACCUGCUCUUCUCUGUCUGUCCUACUCCUCAUGACAAUGACUCUUAUCCUGGAGGGCCUGCAGUAGCGUUUGACACACGUACCUCAUUUAAUUCUCACAAGAGUUCUAUGAAACAGGCUAGGAUUUGGCAAACCAUUGUCAGCUACCUGUUUUUGUAAAUAUAGUUUUAUUGGAACAUAACCACCACAAUUUAUUUACAUAUUGUCUAUAGCUGCUUUUACUCUACAAUGGCAGAGUUGAGUAGUUGUGACAAAAGCUCUAGGCCCUGAAAAGUGCAAAAUAUUUAUUUUACUAUGUGGCCCUUUACAGCAAAGGUGUGUUGACCCCUCAGAUAAAUGGGACAUUGCUCCCACUUUACAUAUGAGGCACAGAAAAGCUAAGCGCAUUGACUGAGAUCAUUUGGGUUAUAAAUUAUAGUGUCAGAGAUGUCUCGGACCCAGAGACAACUGUUCCCUAUGCUUUUCUCCUCCCUACCUUAUAGCAUCUCCUACUCUUUCACAUUCAUUUGUUCCUACUAAAUGUGUCAGCCAAAAAGAACACAUUCAUUUGCACUGAACAAGACGUCUCAGGUUGACCAUCACACAGAAGUCAACAGGAGGUUCUGGAGACUUGCAGAAAGUGAUCAUCCAGCAUAUCCUCUCCUCUCCUCUCCUAGCCCCUAAGGACUGAUUCGUAGUCUGCCCAGAGUUUAUAAGAGAGACAGUCAUCCAACAUGAAUAGAGAUGGCCUGAGCAGGCAUGGGCUCUUUGAAAUUCGGAGAGAUCAGCUCAAAGAUACACUGGGAAGAACCAGGUUGCCCCAAGCAAAAGGCAACAACUGCCCUUGGUUGAGCAAGAUUCCUUGGGAAGCUUAUUGGAGGCCCCACCUCUAAGGACAGGCCCACAUUUGCCUUGUCUGCCAUUCUUCCCUUACUGAUGUAUUCUGACCCUGUCUUGGCUUGAUUUAUCUUUGAUGUCUUUGAUGUUGCUCAUGACCAUGCUGCCUUCUUCCUGGGAGUUCCCAUCUGGUCCUGGUUUCUGCUUCUCUUGCCUUAGCUCAUACUCAAACCCUGUGGGUAACAGCCCACGUGCAACAGUGGUCUGCAGCUCCUGAGGGCUGUUGAAAAGAUUGCUUCAUUCAAUGCCAUAAAAAUAUCCAAGAAUACAGCAAUUGUUAUAGAAAUUAUGGUAAAUCUGCACAAUGAAAUAUUAUGCAGCCACUAAAACGGACAUCAAUUCAGAUUUCUAAAUGACACAAUGUAGCAGAGACAGGGCCAGGUUCAUGGGUGUGGGUCCUACACAGUCAUACAGGGCUCCACACUUACAAGGGCCCUACACUUGGUUUAAUGCUCCAUGGCUGCCACCUUGAAAUUCUGAAUAGUUUUAUAACAAGAGUCCUCCACAUUUACAUUUCACAUUGAGCCUAUAAAUUGUUAGCUAGUCCUGAGCAGAGAUGACUCUGAGUGCCCAUUUUCUCCUGUCUUUUAGUAAUAGAACCUCCUCCCUUUGCUUCAUACAUACACCCUGACUAGUGUUUCCACGCUGGAAUUCCUUCCCAGUAUUUCUUGAGAAUUUUUUAUGUUUCUCCAAAUCUCGAAAGAAAAAUCAGUCAAGAAAUUGGGAAAAAGUAUUGUAAUUAUCCUGCAGGAAUCAAGGCUUAAUGAUCAACAUAAAGACAUCACUGGUUUGAAUCCAUCAAUGUCAAAUGAAAAGCAAGAGCAGGAAAGGCUGGCAGGUGGAAGAGCAUAUAGCACAUAGGAGAGCACAUAGGUCAAGAGCUGAUCAGUCAAUCUUGCUUGUAGCCAUUGUCCUGUUCUAAGUGUGUGUUCUUGGCCCUGACUGAUGCUAAUGGCAAGUCAUUCUUGGAAAUAAAAUAAGCAGUAUUAGGUUUAUAUGUAUGUAUACUUUAUUCAAAUCCUGCUAGUGAUGUUCUAGGAAAUAACAAAUUUGGGAAGCAAAAUACGCCCUUAAUUGGCAAUUUCAAUGUGUGAUUCUGUGUAGUGCUUUAACCUUGCUAGGAGAUCUGAAUGUCACAUUCUUUGAAUAUUACCCAAAAAUGUUCACUGGUAUUUUCUAAUGUUUGAUUUUUUUUUUAUCUCAGGCUAUAGUUGUUUAUAAAUUUGCUAAAUGUAAUAUUUCUUAUUUAUUAAACCAAUUUCUUUUAGAUAUCCACAGUAAUGACUAAAGAGUAUAAAAAUUGCUGGAAGUCUUUUAUUUUCUUCUUGUUACUUAGUUUUCAUUUUGUAAUUAUAAACUUAACUCUGCGAUCCAGCUAGACAUGGAAGAGGAUAAGGAAAAUAUGGAACCCAAAGGACUGUGCAAAGAUUAUAGGAUGCUGUGAGCAAAUGGGGUGGAAGCAUGCUUUCCUGAGCUAUAGAAGGAACGAUCUGGUGGUUCAGAUAAAACAAUCAAAUUUAUUAGAGUUGUCCACAGUCAGCAGCUGUGAUCUUCUUGCUGGUCUUACCAUUCCUGGACCCAGAGCGUUCCAGGGCUUCCACAAUACUCAUGCCAUCUUUCACCUUGCCAAAGACCACAUGCUGUCAUCCAUCCUCUGUCUUGGCAGUACAGAAGAAAAACUGGGAACCAUUUGUGGUGGGUCCAGCAUUUGCCGUGGACAAGACGCCAGGAGCUGUAUGCUUAGGAUGAAGUUCUCAUCAUCAAAUUCCUUGCUGUAGAGGGACUUGCCACCAGUGCCAUUAUGGUGUGUGAAGUCACCACCCUGACACACACCCCGGAAUAAUUCUGUAAAAGCAGGGACAUUUAUCACCAAAUACUUUCUCUCCAGUGUUCAGAGCACAAAAAUUUUCUUCCAUCUUUAGAACUUUGUCUGCAAAUAGCUUGAAGGAGAUGCAGCCCAAGGACUCACUAUCAAUUGCAAUGUUGAAGAACACAGUGGGGUUGGCCAUGGCUGGUGGCAGGGAGUUCUGGGCAGCAGCGAUGUCUGCAAAUGGAAGUCUUUUCAGAAUAACACGAGUUUAUCUUUAUAACAAACCUAUACAUGUAUCCCUGAACCUAAAAUAAAAGUUUUUUUUUUAAAAGGAUAACUUAUUAUUUCAGAAAUUUCUAAGAAUUCCCAGGAAUUCCAACUUCUCAUUUGUAUAUCCUGAUGAAUAUCCACUGGGUAUUUGGAAAUGCCAAUUUCUGACAUAUGAUUGCUUAGCUAGAGACUGCAUUUCCAGCCUCCUUUGCAGGUAACUAUAGCCAGGUUCUAAGUUUUGGCCAAUGAGAUGUUAGCAGAAGUGAAAUGUGUGCCUUCUGGAUUUUAUUUUUAUGAGAAAUUUGCCUGUCUUCUAUUCUUUUUCCCUCUUCUCUCUGGCUCGGAAAUGAUGAAAAGUACAGGACUCACUGGGACCAAAAUUCAGAAAUUACAUGUUAAGGAAGAGAGGGCUGCUCCUCUAGCCUGUUCUCCUUAUGACCUUGUGGAACGGAAUUGCCUACCUGCCCUGGACUAUCCUAAGAUUG